UACGAAGGGGGCUAGCGUUGCUCGGAAUUACUGGGCGUAAAGGGCGCGUAGGCGGAUAUUUAAGUCGGGGGUGAAAGCCCGGGGCUCAACCUCGGAAUUGCCUUCGAUACUGGAUAUCUUGAGUUCGGGAGAGGUGAGUGGAAUGCCGAGUGUAGAGGUGAAAUUCGUAGAUAUUCGGCGGAACACCAGUGGCGAAGGCGACUCACUGGCCCGAUACUGACGCUGAGGCGCGAAAACGUGGGGAGCAAACAGG
rnacentral:rRNA from 1 species